rnacentral:rRNA from 1 species
GAUGAACGCUAGCUACAGGCUUAACACAUGCAAGUCGAGGGGCAGCAUGAAGUUUUCUUCGGAAGACUUUGAUGGCGACCGGCGCACGGGUGAGUAACGCGUAUCGAACCUGCCUCAUACUCGGGAAUAGCCUUGCGAAAGUAAGAUUAAUGCCCGAUGUUCUUGGGGUUCCGCAUGAGGGGACAAGCAAAGAUUCCUUGGUAUAAGAUGGCGAUGCGUCCCAUUAGCGUGUUGGCGGGGUAACGGCCCACCAAGGCAUCGAUGGGUAGGGGUUCUGAGAGGAAGGUCCCCCACAUUGGAACUGAGACACGGUCCAAACUCCUACGGGAGGCAGCAGUGAGGAAUAUUGGUCAAUGGACGGAAGUCUGAACCAGCCAAGUAGCGUGCAGGAAGACGGCCCUCCGGGUUGUAAACUGCUUUUAGUUGGGAAUAAAACGCGGGACGUGUCCCGCCUUGUAUGUACCAUCAGAAAAAGGACCGGCUAAUUCCGUGCCAGCCGCCGCGGUAA